UACGGAGGGUGCAAGCGUUAUCCGGAUUCACUGGGUUUAAAGGGUGUGUAGGCGGAUUUUUAAGUCAGUGGUGAAAUCUCCAGGCUCAACCUGGAAACUGCCAUUGAUACUAUUAGUCUUGAAUUCUGUUGAGGUGGGCGGAAUACAUCAUGUAGCGGUGAAAUGCUUAGAUAUGAUGUAGAACACCGAUUGCGAAGGCAGCUCACUAAGCAGCGAUUGACGCUGAGGCACGAAAGCGUGGGGAUCAAACAGG
rnacentral:rRNA from 1 species